UUCUUAGAAUUGGAAGCUCUUCUUGGGGUUUGGCUGCGGUUUUGGUGAUGCUCUUGUUGUUCUUUAUUGGCAAACCUCAGUUCAAGAGUUCUUGUGGAGAUAGAGAUAUAUAAAUUAAAUAUGACCAAAGUUUUAAAUCACAAUCCCAGUAGUGGUCGCGUAAGAUAUUUGGUAUUGCAAAGAAUUGUGAUCAUAUAUAUUUGAUACGAUCUAAAUUGAAAUCGUAUUUUGUAUUAAGUUCAUGUUCGUUUUCGUGGUGGAAUAAUAUUAGAUUUACAUCCAAUUCAAAACUUUGGUUUAUAGCUUCUUCAA